rnacentral:rRNA from 1 species
GAUGAACGCUAGCGGCAGGCUUAAUACAUGCAAGUCGAGGGGCAGCAUGGUGUAGCAAUACACUGAUGGCGACCGGCAAACGGGUGCGGAACACGUACAGAACCUUCCUUCGAGCGGGGAAUAGCCCAGAGAAAUUUGGAUUAAUACCCCAUAGUAUAUUGAAAAGGCAUCUUUUUAAUAUUAAAGAUUUAUUACUUGAAGAUGGCUGUGCGGCUGAUUAGGUAGUUGGCGGGGUAACGGCCCACCAAGCCUGCGAUCAGUAACUGGUGUGAGAGCACGACCAGUCACACGGGCACUGAGACACGGGCCCGACUCCUACGGGAGGCAGCAGUAAGGAAUAUUGGUCAAUGGACGAAAGUCUGAACCAGCCAUGCCGCGUGGAGGAUGAAGGUCCUCUGGAUUGUAAACUUCUUUUAUAUGGGACGAAAAAAGGCUUUUCUAAGUCGUCUGACGGUACCAUAUGAAUAAGCACCGGCUAACUCCGUGCCAGCCGCCGCAGUAAUAC